rnacentral:tRNA from 1 species
AUGUGGGCAGUACGGGCCGGCGGGCGCCUUCGGUCUUCGGAAGACAGAGCGCUUACGUGAUCAGGGCGUCGUGGGUUGGGGAUCCCCAUCCCACAUGC